GUCUGUAUCCAUACCACCCUGAAUGCACCUGAUCUCAUCUGAUCUUGGAAGCUAAGCAGGGUUCAGCCUGGGUUAGUAUCUGAGUGGGAGAAACAGAAG
rnacentral:rRNA from 1 species